UACGAAGGGGGCUAGCGUUGUUCGGAAUUACUGGGCGUAAAGCGCACGUAGGCGGAUCUUUAAGUCAGGGGUGAAAUCCUGGAGCUCAACUCCAGAACUGCCUUUGAUACUGAAGAUCUUGAGUCCGGGAGAGGUGAGUGGAACUGCGAGUGUAGAGGUGAAAUUCGUAGAUAUUCGCAAGAACACCAGUGGCGAAGGCGGCUCACUGGCCCGGUACUGACGCUGAGGCACGAAAGCGUGGGGAGCAAACAGG
rnacentral:rRNA from 1 species